UCGUUCUCAACGGGGUGCCGGUUAACUGGCUGAGAGAGACCCGUCGAACCUGAUCCGGCUCGUACCGGCGUAGGGAUUUGAGAUGCUCCGCCCU
rfam:Pantoea dispersa strain SA5 contig_3, whole genome shotgun sequence.